GGGGCCGUAGCUCAGUUGGGAGAGCGCUUGAAUGGCAUUCAAGAGGUCAGGGGUUCGAUUCCCCUCGGCUCCCCCA
rnacentral:tRNA from 1 species